AUGUUGGCUUCAGCAGCACAUAUACUAAAAUUGAAAUGAUACAGAGAAGAUUAGCAUGGCCCCUGCAUAAGGAUAAUGCACAAAUCUGUGAAGCAUUCCAGCUGUUU
ensembl:snRNA U6 U6 spliceosomal RNA